GACGAACGCUGGCGGCGUGCUUAACACAUGCAAGUCGAACGAUGAAGCGGUGCUUGCACCGUGGAUUAGUGGCGAACGGGUGAGUAAUACGUGAGUGACCUACCUUUGACUCUGGGAUAAGCCUGGGAAACUGGGUCUAAUACCGGAUACGACCAAUCUCUGCAUGGGGUGUUGGUGGAAAGCGUUAUGGAGUGGUUUUAGAUGGGCUCACGGCCUAUCAGCUUGCUGGUGAGGUAAUGGCUUACCAAGGCGACGACGGGUAGCCGGCCUGAGAGGGUGACCGGCCACACUGGGACUGAGACACGGCCCAGACUCCUACGGGAGGCAGCAGUGGGGAAUAUUGCACAAUGGGCGCAAGCCUGAUGCAGCGACGCCGCGUGAGGGAUGACGGCCUUCGGGUUGUAAACCUCUGUUAGCAUCGAAGAAGCGAAAGUGACGGUAGGUGCAGAGAAAGCGCCGGCUAACUACGUG
rnacentral:rRNA from 1 species